CAUUCUCAUUGUCUAGUCACCCACUCAAGAAACAUCUAAAAUCCUUCUCUAGAUUACUCAUAUGGCGUCUGUGUUCCUUACCUUCAGGCUCUCACCUUGUCAGGUCAUUGGUAAUAUUGCUGAAAAAUUAUUCUUCCUAAAAUUUUGACCAAAAAAAUCAUUAUUUGCCAAUAAAAUAUUUUCCGACAACUCAAAUCCAUUCUUUAGUUUUUAUCCCCUUCCUUUUAGAAAGUAUACUCCAGAAGCUGGGACUCUAUUUCCUACUAUAGGAGGCAGACUCCAAAAUGACCCCAAUGACCUUGCUUUCUGGGUGUUCAUGCCCUUGUAUAAUCCCUUCCCACUGAGUGAGGGCUGAAUGACAGAUUUCCAACAACCAGAAUACAACAAAAGUAAUGGAAUGCCACUUCUCAGAUUAGUUGAAAAAAAAAGACUGUGAUUUGUGCCUCUUUUGUCCUCUUGCUCUCUCUCUCUCAGCCCUCACUAUUGGGAAGCAAGUUGCCAUCUUAUGAGCAGGGAGAGGCCCACAUCCCAAGGAGCUGAUGUUUCUGGCCAACAGCCAGUGAGGACCUGAGGCCUGCCAGGUCACAUGAGGGAGCCUGGAAGUGGGUCUUCUCAGUCCUGCCAACAGCUGUGAGUGAGCAUGGACGCAGAUCCUCUCCCAGUGGAGCAUUUGGAUGACCACGGCUCUGGCUAACACCUCACUUACAGCCUUGGGAGAGAUUCUGAGUCAGAGGCAUCCAGCUAAAUUGACCCACAGACACGGUAAAUCAGGGAUUUCUUCUUGGUUUGGAUCCACUGUUGAUUUUAGGUUACAAAAAGAUGGCAGAUUGCAUCUUGGGCACUCUCUUGUAUGACUUUUUGGAGAAGCCAGUUUUCAUGUUGUGAGAGGCCUGGCAGAGGGGCCCAAAUGAGUUCGCUGGGAAGCGGAUCACAGAAACCAUGAGGUCCCGGUUUAUGACUGCAAAACAAUGGUUUAAACAGUAUUCAUUCUGGAACAUCACUCAAUUUCACUAAUACUAUUCAAAUUCUGGAUGAGAAUUCGCUUCUGCAAAUUAGAAGCAAUUCAUCUAAGAUAAUGAACACAGAAGCGAAGCAGAAGCCAUUUUCCUACAUCCUUUCGACUGUUUUAACUGCAAACAAAGAUAAAGAAAUGCAAGGUGUUAGCAGUGCUUUUUGUGGCACUUUCCAAUUUUCUGGGUGUCAAGAGGCAAUUGUGACUACAGCAUUAGCAGUGUAACUCUGGCUUCCUGAUUACUGGAUUGCAGCAAGAGGAGUAUAUUCAUAACACACAGUUGCAGCAACCAUAUUAGCUAUAACUGGCUCUUGGGUGGAUCAUUUCUGUACUCCCUAAAGUCAUUCCAGCAAGAACAGCCUAGAACUCAUAUCUUAGAUCUUCCAACUAUUUUAUAAGCAUCAAAUUCUCUUGUAUUAAAUAUCUUCCUGUUUUAAAUAAAUGUAAUUUUUGUUUCCUGGACUAAAUCCUGACUCACACGCUAUUUGAUGUAUCUGUGUGUCUGUGGAACUAAUACUAAAGUUUCAUGAAAAUCCCCUUUUUAUGUGUGAUACAUUAAUUUUUCUAUUUUACUUGUCCUAUUUACAAUUCUCUUAAGUCUAUAGUCACUCUUAAAUUUCCAUGCUAUUCUAUGUCUAUUCAUUAAAUAAAAUGCUAAUUGCAAUGUUUAAAAUCUACUUCAUGACCCACCAACAGGUUGCAAGCUUCAGUUAAAAGACACUGCUUACAGCAUGAUCUUAUUAAGAGAGCCGAAGUAUACUGCAGAAUAUCACAACUGCAUUACUUAUUUUUCUUUUAUUCCAUCCUGGUCUUCAUGAUAGACAAUCGAAGCUUUUCCAGCUAUCAUCUUAUUGGCCUCUACCUAAAUAGGAGACAGCAUUCAGGCAAGUCUCCACAUAGCUAAAAAAUGUUUUCAACAAAUAAGCAAAAAUGGAGAACAGAAAAUAAGAAGAAGAAAAUCGUACGACUGACAUUAAGGUUUGGGGGAAAACUGCUCUUGAUCUAAAAAGAAUGCAAGGUUUUUUUAUAAAACCAUUUUCUGAAAGCUUUCAUUGACCAGACUUGAUUUUGUUAUUAAAACAUACCUCCAGAAACCAUAUGCAGUGUUUGAUUCUUUUUCCUCCAUCUACUUAUUAGUCAAACAGAAAUAAAUCUAAUAUGGACCAAAAGAACUUUUAAAAACUAAACAUCCUUAAAUCUUGUUAUAUGAAUAGUGAACUAUAUUCAGAUUUUGGUUCUUGAUUCCAAAACCAAUAAAAUCACAGCAAAAUGUUAAAUGAAUCCACAGAUCUCAGAGGAUAACAGAUCAUAAAACUCCCACAGAUUUGGCAAGGUGG
rnacentral:lncRNA from 1 species